rnacentral:snoRNA from 1 species
ACUCCUGUUAAUAGUACCACACAUCUGCCUCUUACAACGGAGGUGUGGCUAUGCUAACAGGAAAGAUUAACUGUCCGUCAAUGUCUGAAGGGGUUGUGCAGCCUUAUUUCUGCCACCUCUAAUGAAAUGAUGGCACAAUGUAAU